UACAGAGGGUGCAAGCGUUGUUCGGAAUUACUGGGCGUAAAGCGAGCGCAGGUUGUUUUGUGUGUUUGAUGUGAAAGCCCUCGGCUUAACCGAGGAACUGCGUCAAAAACUGCAAAGCUAGAGUAUGAGAGGGGAUGGCAGAAUUCUCAGUGUAGAGGUGAAAUUCGUAGAUACUGGGAGGAAUACCAGAAGCGAAGGCGGCCAUCUGGAUCAUUACUGACACUAUAGCUCGAAAGCGUGGGUAGCAAACAGG
rnacentral:rRNA from 1 species